UACGUAGGGGGCAAGCGUUGUCCGGAAUCAUUGGGCGUAAAGCGCGUGUAGGCGGCCAGAAAAGUCCGCUGUGAAAACUCGAGGCUCAACUUCGAGCUGUCGGUGGAAACUUUCUGGCUAGAGUCCGGAAGAGGAGAAUGGAAUUCCUGGUGUAGCGGUGAAAUGCGCAGAUAUCAGGAAGAACACCAAUGGCGAAAGCAGCUCUCUGGGACGGUACUGACGCUGAGACGCGAAAGCGUGGGGAGCGAACAGG
rnacentral:rRNA from 1 species